rnacentral:rRNA from 1 species
GACGAAGGGGGCUAGCGUUGUUCGGAAUUACUGGGCGUAAAGCGCGCGUAGGCGGCUUUUCAAGUCAGAAGUGAAAGCCCCGGGCUCAACCCGGGAAUAGCUUUUGAUACUGUUGAGCUCGAGUCCGGGAGAGGAUAGUGGAAUUCCCAGUGUAGAGGUGAAAUUCGUAGAUAUUGGGAAGAACACCAGUGGCGAAGGCGGCUAUCUGGACCGGUACUGACGCUGAGGCGCGAAAGCGUGGGGAGCAAACAGGGAUUAAGAAACCCU